GCUCAGAUUGAACGCUGGCGGCAGGCCUAACACAUGCAAGUCGAGCGGAUGAAGGGAGCUUGCUCCCUGAUUCAGCGGCGGACGGGUGAGUAAUGCCUAGGAAUCUGCCUGGUAGUGGGGGACAACGUUUCGAAAGGAACGCUAAUACCGCAUACGUCCUACGGGAGAAAGCAGGGGACCUUCGGGCCUUGCGCUAUCAGAUGAGCCUAGGUCGGAUUAGCUAGUUGGUGAGGUAAUGGCUCACCAAGGCGACGAUCCGUAACUGGUCUGAGAGGAUGAUCAGUCACACUGGAACUGAGACACGGUCCAGACUCCUACGGGAGGCAGCAGUGGGGAAUAUUGGACAAUGGGCGAAAGCCUGAUCCAGCCAUGCCGCGUGUGUGAAGAAGGUCUUCGGAUUGUAAAGCACUUUAAGUUGGGAGGAAGGGUUGCUGAUUAAUACUCUGCAAUUUUGACGUUACCGACAGAAUAAGCACCGGCUAACUCUGUGCCAGCAGCCGCGGUAAUACAGAGGGUGCAAGCGUUAAUCGGAAUUACUGGGCGUAAAGCGCGCGUAGGUGGUUUGUUAAGUUGGAUGUGAAAGCCCCGGGCUCAACCUGGGAACUGCAUCCAAAACUGGCAAGCUAGAGUAGGGCAGAGGGUGGUGGAAUUUCCUGUGUAGCGGUGAAAUGCGUAGAUAUAGGAAGGAACACCAGUGGCGAAGGCGACCACCUGGGCUCAUACUGACACUGAG
rnacentral:rRNA from 1 species